rnacentral:rRNA from 1 species
UACGUAGGGUGCAAGCGUUAAUCGGAAUUACUGGGCGUAAAGCGUGCGCAGGCGGUGAUGUAAGACAGAUGUGAAAGCCCCGGGCUCAACCUGGGAAUUGCAUUUGAGACUGCGUAGCUAGGGUGCGGAAGAGGGAAGCGGAAUUUCCGGUGUAGCGGUGAAAUGCGUAGAUAUCGGAAGGAACACCAGUGGCGAAAGCGGCUUCCUGGUCCAGCACCGACGUCAGGCACGAAAGCGUGGGGAGCAAACAGG